UUUAUUACCCAUCAUAUACCCAAUAAAAAUUAUAUUUUAUUACACAUUAUAUACCCAAAAAAACAAUUAAAAUAUAUUUUAUUACCCAUUUAACUUUUUUUUGAUUUUUUCUAGUUUUUUGACCAAUUUAGCUUCCACAAAUGCGACACAAACUAUUCUGCCAACUUUUCUGACCUAUUGAUUUAAUUUUUCAUCAUUUUUUUUUUUUGUCUUUUUUAGAGAUAUCAUUUAACAUUGAAGUAGUAUAAACAUUUUCAGUUCUCUAAAUAAUCUCACAAACCUCCUUUAUCUCUCUUUCUAUAUGCAUUAACUUCUACAUGUGGAAAGAAACGCACCAAUACUUCUCCAUUUGUAUAACUUUCAGCAAACUAAAAUAUAUAAAAGUUUUUGAAUACCUUAUGCCGUCUUUGUAUUAAAUCAGUUUUAAUUUGCAAUUCAUCCAGUGAGCGUAGCCCAGCUGGCUACAGUACUUCGACUCGAUUCUUCAAAGCAUCAAUAAAUGGAAUGGCAUUCAAUAUAUUGUUUUAUAUUUAGAAUUAAAAUUUUAUUUAAAUAAAGACAAAUUUAAAAAAAAAAUGC
rnacentral:lncRNA from 1 species